GGAUCCAGACUUUGAUCAUGGCUCAGGAUGAACGCUAGCUACAGGCUUAACACAUGCAAGUCGAGGGGCAGCGGGAUUGAAGCUUGCUUCAAUUGCCGGCGACCGGCGCACGGGUGAGUAACGCGUAUCCAACCUUCCGUACACUCAGGGAUAGCCUUUCGAAAGAAAGAUUAAUACCUGAUGGUACGAUGAGAUUGCAUGAUAGCAUCAUUAAAGAUUUAUCGGUGUACGAUGGGGAUGCGUUCCAUUAGGUAGUAGGCGGGGUAACGGCCCACCUAGCCAACGAUGGAUAGGGGUUCUGAGAGGAAGGUCCCCCACAUUGGAACUGAGACACGGUCCAAACUCCUACGGGAGGCAGCAGUGAGGAAUAUUGGUCAAUGGACGAGAGUCUGAACCAGCCAAGUAGCGUGAAGGAUGAAGGUCCUACGGAUUGUAAACUUCUUUUAUAAGGGAAUAAACCCUCCCACGUGUGGGAGCUUGUAUGUACCUUAUGAAUAAGCAUCGGCUAACUCCGUGCCAGCAGCCGCGGUAAUACGGAGGAUGCGAGCGUUAUCCGGAUUUAUUGGGUUUAAAGGGAGCGCAGACGGGUCGUUAAGUCAGCUGUGAAAGUUUGGGGCUCAACCUUAAAAUUGCAGUUGAUACUGGCGUCCUUGAGUGCGGUUGAGGUGUGCGGAAUUCGUGGUGUAGCGGUGAAAUGCUUAGAUAUCACGAAGAACUCCGAUUGCGAAGGCAGCACACUAAUCCGUAACUGACGUUCAUGCUCGAAAGUGUGGGUAUCAAACAGGAUUAGAUACCCU
rnacentral:rRNA from 1 species